AUUGAACGCUGGCGGAAUGCUUUACACAUGCAAGUCGAACGGCAGCACGGGGGCAACCCUGGUGGCGAGUGGCGAACGGGUGAGUAAUACAUCGGAACGUGCCCAGUCGUGGGAGAUAACGUAGCGAAAGUUACGCUAAUACCGCAUACGAUCUACGGAUGAAAGCGGGGGACCGUAAGGCCUCGCGCGAUUGGAGCGGCCGAUGUCAGAUUAGGUAGUUGGUGAGGUAAAGGCUCACCAAGCCGACGAUCUGUAGCUGGUCUGAGAGGACGACCAGCCACACUGGGACUGAGACACGGCCCAGACUCCUACGGGAGGCAGCAGUGGGGAAUUUUGGACAAUGGGCGCAAGCCUGAUCCAGCCAUUCCGUGUGCAGGACGAAGGCCUUCGGGUUGUAAACUGCUUUUGUACGGAACGAAAAGGCUCUGGUUAAUACCUGGGGCUCAUGACGGUACCGUAAGAAUAAGCACCGGCUAACUACGUGCCAGCAGCCGCCGUAA
rnacentral:rRNA from 1 species